UACAGAGGUCCCAAGCGUUGUUCGGAUUCACUGGGCGUAAAGGGUGCGUAGGUGGCCAGGUAAGUUUGGUGUGAAAGCUCGGAGCUUAACUCCGAAAAGUCAUUGAAUACUAUCUGGCUGGAGGGUCGGAGGGGAGACUGGAAUUCUCGGUGUAGCAGUGAAAUGCGUAGAUAUCGAGAGGAACACCAGUGGCGAAGGCGAGUCUCUGGAAAACUCCUGACACUGAGGCACGAAAGCUAGGGGAGCAAACAGG
rnacentral:rRNA from 1 species